rnacentral:rRNA from 1 species
UACGAAGGGGGCGAGCGUUGUUCGGAUUUAUUGGGCGUAAAGGGCGCGCAGGUGGUGCGGUAAGACUGCCGUGAAAUCUCCUGGCUCAACUGGGAGGGUGCGGUGGAGACUGCCGGACUAGAGGCACUCAGAGGCCGGUGGAAUUCCCGGUGUAGUGGUGAAAUGCGUAGAGAUCGGGAGGAACACCAGUGGCGAAGGCGGCCGGCUGGGGGUGACCUGACGCUGAGGCGCGAAAGCGUGGGGAGCGAACCGG